rnacentral:rRNA from 1 species
AUACGGAGGGUGCAAGCGUUAUUCGGAAUCACUGGGCGUAAAGGACGCGUAGGCGGGUUGGCAAGUCAAAUGUGAAAUCCUACAGCUUAACUGUAGAACUGCAUUUGAAACUGCUAACCUAGAGUAUGGGAGGGGGAGAUGGAAUUAGUGGUGUAGGGGUAAAAUCCGUAGAUAUCACUAGGAAUACCGAAAGCGAAGGCGAUCUCCUGGAACAUAACUGACGCUAAGGCGUGAAAGCGUGGGGAGCAAACAGGAUUAGAAACCCCGGUAGUCC